rnacentral:rRNA from 1 species
CUACGGAGGGGGCUAGCGUUGUUCGGAAUCACUGGGCGUAAAGCGCUCGUAGGCGGACCAGUCAGUCAGAGGUGAAAUCCCAAGGCUCAACCUUGGAACUGCCUUUGAUACUGCUGGUCUUGAGGUCGAGAGAGGUAAGUGGAAUUCCUAGUGUAGAGGUGAAAUUCGUAGAUAUUAGGAAGAACACCAGUGGCGAAGGCGGCUUACUGGCUCGAUUCUGACGCUGAGGAGCGAAAGCGUGGGGAGCAAACAGGAUUAGAUACCCUUGUAGUCC